UACGUAGGGUGCGAGCGUUGUCCGGAAUUAUUGGGCGUAAAGGGCUCGUAGGCGGUUUGUCGCGUCGGGAGUGAAAUCCACUGGCUUAACUGGUGGCUUGCUUUCGAUACGGGCAGACUGGAGGUAUGCAGGGGAGAACGGAAUUCCUGGUGGAGCGGUGAAAUGCGCAGAGAUCAGGAGGAACACCCGUAGCGAAGGCGGCACUCUGGGCCGAUACUGACACUGAGGAGCGAAAGCGUGGGGAGCGAACAGG
rnacentral:rRNA from 1 species